UGAAUUCAGAAGCUGUUACUUUUGGAGAACA
rnacentral:piRNA from 1 species